rnacentral:lncRNA from 1 species
AUGGCCGGCACGACGGACUGCAAAUCCCUACUUCCGCUUAUCAGCCUCUUUCAGUCUUUUCGGCUUAGCGGGAGUGGGACUGAGAACCCAAAAGGAGAAAUAAUCCACGCUGUGCCCUGGUGUAGUCUGGACAGUAGCGUGUGCGUUAGUGUCAAUCCAAUGAAGCAAAGUGUCAAUCCAGUGAAGCAGACAUUCCUGUUGCCUUGUUACCAACGCAUCUGAGUCUUCCUGUGCUUUUUUUGAGCAAAACUGUACUGUGAUUCUUGGGUAGGGAGAUGUCAGCCUGUGCUUUUGACUGAUUUCAUUGAACAUUUAUUGACUCUCAAGUCAGUGCCUUUAAGUAGAUGACGGUCUCUGAGUUAGCCCAACGCACCAACAGGUAAUUAUAAUACAAUAUGAAAAUUUCUGAGAUAAACACUAGGUUUUAAUGAACACGUUGAAGAAGGCCACCAAACAAUUCUCGAAGUGGAGUUUAAGAGCUAGGUGGGCACAUUCUACUUAGGUUUAUUAAACAAAUACUUAAUGAGUG